rnacentral:rRNA from 1 species
UACGUAGGGGGCUAGCGUUGUCCGGAAUCAUUGGGCGUAAAGAGCGUGUAGGCGGUCCGGUAAGUCCGCUGUGAAAGUCGGGGGCUCAACCCUCGAAUGCCGGUGGAUACUGUCGGGCUAGAGUGCGGAAGAGGCGAGUGGAAUUCCUGGUGUAGCGGUGAAAUGCGCAGAUAUCAGGAGGAACACCUAUUGCGAAGGCAGCUCGCUGGGACGUUACUGACGCUGAGGCGCGACAGCGUGGGGAGCAAACAGG